GACGAACGCUGGCGGCGUGCCUAACACAUGCAAGUCGAACGAGGUCCAAGGAAGCUUGCUUCCUGAAGACCUAGUGGCGAACGGGUGAGUAACACGUGAGAAACCUGCCUCGGAGUGGGGAAUAACUCGGGGAACUCGAGCUAAUACCGCAUACCUUCACAUGAUCGCAUGGUCGAGUGAAGAAAGAGUUUCGCUCUGAGAGGGUCUCGCGGCCUAUCAGCUUGUUGGUGGGGUAAACGGCCUACCAAGGCAACGACGGGUAGCUGGUUUGAGAGAACGAUCAGCCACACUGGGACUGAGACACGGCCCAGACUCCUACGGGAGGCAGCAGUGGGGAAUCUUGCGCAAUGGGCGAAAGCCUGACGCAGCAACGCCGCGUGCGGGAUGACGGGCCCUUCGUGGUUGUAAACCGCUUUCAGCAGAGACGAAAAUAGACGGUACCUGCAGAAGAAGUACCCGGCUAACUAACGUGCCAGCAGCCG
rnacentral:rRNA from 1 species